GAGGAGGAUCUAAGGUUCCAGUGGGUAGUGACUCGCAAAAUGUGGUCCAGCCGCCUUUCCAGCAACCCAUGCUGGUCCCUGUGAGCCAGUCUGUGCAAGGAGGCCUCCCAGCAGCGGGGGUACCAGUGUACUAUAGCAUGAUCCCACCUGCUCAGCAGAACGGUACGAGGUGAGGACUCCCAGAGAGCCAGGACAGGACAUCUCCCAUAGACCUUCAGCAACAGUUGCAUCAUGGUUUUGUUUCCACUGGCCUAAGAAAGGCAGGGGUAAAGAUCCCAGUAGUUCCCUAAAGCAGGGGAGGACCAGGAAGCAGCAGCUGUUUGCCAGGAGCUGUGUUCAUCCCUCUACUGCUUCACCACUCCUCUCUUCUCUGUCUUCCCAGCCCUUCUGUAGGGUUUCUGCAACCCCCUGGCUCUGAGCAGUACCAGAUGCCUCAGUCUCCCUCUCCCUGCAGUCCACCACAGAUGCCACAGCAGUACUCAGGAGUGUCACCUUCUGGACCAGGUGUAGUGGUCAUGCAGCUGAAUGUCCCUAAUGGACCCCAGCCCCCUCAGAACCCAUCCAUGGUCCAGUGGAGUCAUUGUAAAUACUACAGCAUGGACCAGCGGGGGCAGAAGCCUGGAGACCUGUACAGUCCUGACAGCAGCCCCCAGGCCAACACACAAAUGAGCAGCAGCCCUGUCACAUCUCCUACCCAGUCUCCAGCACCCU
rnacentral:lncRNA from 1 species